CUAUGACUGAAAAAUCCAUAGACAUUUGCAUGCAGGUUUUUGUGUGGACGUAAGUUUUCAAAUCAUGUGUAUAAAUAUCUGUAAGAACGAUGGCUAGAUUAUGCAGUAACACUAAGUUUAGCUUUGUAAGAAACUGCCAUGCUGUCUUUCAAAAUGGGUGCACCAUUUUCUACUUCCACCAGCAAUGAAUGAAAGUUUCUGUUUAGGUUUUGUUUUUAACUAGCAAUUUGUCAAUUUCAGAGAUAACUGAAUAAAGAAACAAAAUUCUAUUCUGCAUUAAACCUGCAUUUGAAACCUCCUCAGUGAUUCCUUUAUAUGACAUAAAUCAAGGACAAGGUUUUGGAGGGAAGAAAACCUCUGUCAACUCACAAUACAGACUGAAAAACCACUGCUCUGUGAUUACCGCCCUUCCUGAUGGACCACUGUCCUACCUCAAUACCUUUGUUGCCAAAGCAGGAAUUUUCUAGCUAAUAAGGAAGUCCAUUGAAAAUGUGUGCCAGUUUCUUCCUGUUGAAGCUGGAAGACUGAGCUCCAUAAUUCUUUAAGAGGAAGGGUAUGUUUCUGGGUUUAGCUCAAAAUAAAUCUUUGUUUUGGAAAUAUCAUGCAGAACAUGUAUCUUUUUCUUUUUUUCAUCAUUUAUUUCUUUUAUUUUUUUUUACUUUAUUUUAGUUUCUGGGAUACAUGUGCACAACAUGCAGGUUUGUUACACAGGUAUACAUGUGCCAUGGUGGUUUGCUGCACCCAUCAACCUAUUAUCUAGGUCAUCUAGGUUUUAAGCCUCACAUGCAUUAGGUAUUUUCCUAAUGCUCUGCCUCCCCUUGACAUAUGUCUUAAUAUGCUAAGCUUACUCAGUAUAAGAAGAAUUUUCUCUUGAUGUAUUUAUUAUAUGGGAUAAAACAUAGAAGUCAUCUAGAAGCCUAAAAUUUAAAAGCCCAUAUUGAUACUUUGAUAGUAUUUUUGAGUAAGUGAAAUUCAUAUAUUUCUGCAUGGGGAAGAGAAAGAUCCCCCACUCUCUAUAUGCAAACAAAGUGGCUUCAUUUUCUCAAAUUGGAAGCAAUAUUAGCCAAGAAAUGCCCUUGAUACCCACUUGCUACCAGAAAGAGUAAUUAUACAAAGAAGAUAACCCCCAGCUGGUGUGUAGAUAAACAGAUUCUUCAUAAAGUUGACUUAUUUAAUAACCUAUGAAUACAAUUGGAAAAGUUAUCUUUCAGUGUUCAGCUGAACUUAUAAAGAAUACUAUACUUUACCAACACUAUUUAAUUAGCAAGAUAGACACAUCAUAAAAUCCAAUAUAAUUUAGAUAAAACCAUUGUAGGUAUGACAUAUAACCUAGAAGUUUCACCCUCAGGGUUUGCAUUUAACCAAACUUUUGUUUUAUUUUUAGGAAAAUUUCAUCCACAUUAAUGGAUGUUCUUUUCAGUUUGACACUCCUCAAUUUUUUAAAAAGAAAGCAAAGUCUACUGUAAGCUCAGCUGACGGUUUAAAGAUAUGAUUUUAUUCUUUUUCAGAACAACAUUAAGAUCUGCUUUCCAGUAUUUGUCAAAAAGCAUACUCAGUUCACUGCUAUAUAACACUCAUUGAAACCUGCCACAGAAUUUUUAGAGUAGUGAAACUACAGUGUGUAAUACUAUAAUGGUGGAUACGUGCCAUUAUAAAUUGGUAUCAACCCAAAGAAUCUAAAACACCAAGAGUAAUCCCCAAUGUAAACUGUGGAUUUUGGUGAUAAUGGCUUUGGUAUGAAUGUAAGUUCAUCAGUUGUAGUACAUGUACCACUCUAAUGGAGGAAUGUUGAUAAUGGGGGAGGCUAUGCAUAUAUGGGGACAUCUCUCUACCUUCCAAUAAAUUUUGCUGUGAACCUAAAAAUGCUUUAAAAAAACAGUCUACUAACAGCAAAAACAACAACUUGGCUGAAAUGAAUAAUUUCUAUAGAAUAUUGCCUAAGAGAAAUCUAAACAUUCCAUUCAUUUAUCAAUCAAUUUACAUUAUUGCUUUCUAUUUUUUAACAAAAGCUCUGGAACACUCUAAACAAACAAGGCCUUGUGUAAGCAGUUACUAUGUAAUAGAGAUGAAAGUAGAAUAAUCUUAGUUGGAGUGCAAAGAGAAAGCCUUGAUUCUAGCCACUGAAACCCUGGAAUCCCAUAGAUCUGGAUAGCAGAGUUUGGAAAACAUGACACUGAAUACUGUAAUCCAGAUUGAUGUGUUAAAAUGUUCCAUUGAAGAUUGUAUACCAGGGACGUGCUGUUUUGAAUUCUCACCACCUAGGAUUUAAUUUAUUGCAUUGCAUAUGCUGCAUAGCAUGGGUCAUUGGAUGUAUUUCUGACAGAUACAACCCUCUAAAACUCAUCACUGUGUUUAUUAUAAUUACAAUGUGAAGAUGUUUGCCAUAGUUGCCAUGCAACUCCUCUUUACUCACAGGAAACUGUAUUUCACAUAUCACAGCUAGGAAUAAGUGUACCCAGGUGGAUCAGUUUGUUUCCCUCUUUGGGACACUGAGACACAUGCAUAAUGUGUUCCUCAUUUGCAUUGGUUGCUAACAAGAUCAAGGACAAAUUUGUGGCUAAAAUCUAGCAAGGAUAUAAUUACUUCUGGCCAUAUUUUUUGUGCUAAUUAUUAAUUUCAUGUACUCUGCUUGUAUCUUUAAUUUUGUUUGUUAUUGCUUUUUUAGACUCUAAUUUUAUCUUUAACCUGUUUCAUUUCCUCAACCAAAAAAAUGAAAUCUGUUUGUAUUAUUAUCAUUGGAACAGAAAAGAUACAAGUUCAAUAAAAUAAUAUAAAAACCUACAACUCAUUGUUCCUCAU
rnacentral:lncRNA from 1 species